CUUGUCAAUUUUCAUAGAACGUAUUUGGAGACAGAAACAGAAAUCCAGUUAGUUUUAUAUAUCCCAAUAGGAAUCAGUAAAUGAUAACUAGCAGAACUAACCCCACCAGCCAUAUAUAGGAACAGCAGGUCGUGAAUAGUACAUAUUCAGACGUCAUCUUCUACUACUGACUUCCUAUACAAAAGCUAUAAGAAUUUUGAUAAUAAAAUAAACUGUAACUUGCUUGUUACGAGUAAAAGUUAAUAAAAAUACCCCGCGUGACAGGAGGUUACAAUAAUAUAAUAUAAUAUAAUAUAGUGUCUCCAUCGUGGAUAUAUGUUUGGUGUAAUUAUUUUCACGCCUGCGCAGGUACUUCGAUAAAUUAGUGCAUUUUCAUCAUAUGCACAGUGUCACCGUGAACUAUGUACCGUAGACGUGCCGCGUCUGGAAAAGGUUAUUGGUGACUGUAUUGUUGGGUUUAAUAUUAAUGUGUAUUUGCAGAAAAGAAACAUAUUUUAACCAAGUCGUUUUAUUAAGUCGAUUAAAUUGUUAUCCAGAAGUAUCCAGAAGUAUCACUAUUGAAUUUGUCAUCGUUUAUUGAUUUGUUUUGAAUUUAAUCUAUAAAGAUUAGUGCAAAUCUUUAAAAUAAUACAUCUUUUUUGUACCAAAAAUCUUAAAACAUUCCCUAUACACACUAAUUAGAUAUACACAUAUAUAAACGAUAUAAAAUGUAAAAUGUUCCAUUAUUUUAUAUUUUUCGCAUGAUAUUUAUUAUGUUCUCGAAUUAUUGUUUACCAAAGCAAUUAUGUUAUGUAUAUAGUGUGUACAUUUUCGGAUGGAAUAAUAAUUAUUUCUCAUUUCACAAUAAUCAGAAUCAAAUCACUAAUUGUUUUUUGUUUUUAUCCCAAUAUUAAAACAAAAACGUUUAUGAUCGAAAAUGAAUUAUUGACCAAGCGAUCAUUAUUUAACGAGUAUUAUCGCAUACUUUAUCACAAAAGAAGCAACACUAUAAAAAGGGUAAUUAAUUUUUCAUAAAUUAUGGUUUCGAAAAGUUUUUCUGGUGGCCGUUUCGGAUGUAAACGGUCAGACGAAGGUAUUUAAAUGGCUACUAGUUAAGUUAAAAACGGACACAUUUUGAUAAAGUCGAAAAUAUAACGGGAUUUUGGCUCCGUAUAUAUAUCAUAUGUAAUUGAAUCCAAAUUAUAAAUUGCGUUUUGAUUUAAAACAUGUAUGU